rnacentral:rRNA from 1 species
CGCGUAGGCGGCCCUGUAAGUCCCGUGUGAAAGCCCCCGGCUCAACUGGGGAAUGGCACGGGAAACUGCGAGGCUUGAGUUCGGGAGAGGGAAGCGGAAUUCCGGGUGUAGCGGUGAAAUGCGUAGAUAUCCGGAGGAACACCAGUGGCGAAGGCGGCUUCCUGGACCGAUACUGACGCUGAGGCGCGAAAGCUAGGGGAGCAAACG